UACAGAGGUCCCAAGCGUUGUUCGGAUUCACUAGGCGUAAAGGGUGCGUAGGCGGUCGGGUAAGUCUGACGUGAAAUCUCCGGGCCUAACCCGGAAACUGCGUCGGAUACUAUCCGGCUAGAGGAUUGGAAGGGAGACUGGAAUACUUGGUGUAGCAGUGAAAUGCGUAGAUAUCAAGUGGAACACCAGUGGCGAAGGCGAGUCUCUGGACAUUUCCUGACGCUGAGGCACGAAAGCCAGGGGAGCAAACGGG
rnacentral:rRNA from 1 species